rnacentral:lncRNA from 1 species
CUACUGUUAAUGGACAACUAAUUAAAACGAUGGAGGAAUCCCAAAGAGUAACCCUAGUCGCCUGGCUGUUGGGUUUAACCAAAAGAGAGAUUAAUGGACAGUAAAUGAAUGGGGAACACAAAAAAAAAAUAUUAACAGACACUAAUUAAUAAAAGAUGCAAGGGAAAACUAAACGAUAUUAAGUUUUAAAUGGGUUUAAAUGCUUGUUCUUAAAAAAAAAGGAAUGUGAGAGAAAACGUAGAAAAACCCAGAAAACUCGC